rnacentral:rRNA from 1 species
UUUAAAUAGCUGCAGUAAUUUAACUGUACAAAGGUAGCAUAGUAAUUAGUCUUUUAAUUGAGGUCUAGAAUGAAUGGUUCAACAAGAAAAUAACUUUAUUAAUUUAAUAAAAUUUUAAUUUAAUUUUUUAGUUAAAAAGCUAAAAUUUUUAAGUGGGACGAUAAGACCCUAUAGAUCUUUAAUUUUUUAAAUUAUUUUUUUUUUAGAUAAAUAAAAUUUAUAAUAUUAAGAAAUUUUGGUUGGGGUGACAUUAAAAUUUUAAAAACUUUUUUUUAUAUCUACAUUUGUUUAUGGAAUUCAUGAUCUUAAAUUUUUGAUUAAAAGAAAAAGAUACCUUAGGGAUAACAGCGUAAUAAAUUUGGAUAGUUCAUAUUAAUAAAUUUUGUUUACGACCUCGAUGUUGAAUUAAUUUAAAAAUUUGAAGCAGAAAUUAAAUAUUUGGGUCUGUUCGACCUUUAAUUAGUUACA